GAUUUCUGACGAAACUGCUAGCUGGCCCGCCACGCAAGUGUGUGAGUGCCGGCUUGGCGUUUGUCAUCCGUUCGAAUGAUAUGCGUGCUGCCCUUCACUGGGUUGGCGCUGCAUGUUUUCGAUCUUUUACUUUGAAAAAAUUAGAGUGUUUCAAGCAGGCAUGUUUUGCUAUGAAUACAUUAGCAUGGAAUAAUAAUUUAGGACUUUGGUCUUAUUUUGUUGGUUUCUAGGACUAAAGUAAUGAUUGAUAGGGACAGUUGGGGGUGCUAGUAUUCAGCGGCCAGAGGUGAAAUUCUUGGAUUCGCUGAAGACUAACUUAUGCGAAAGCAUU
rnacentral:rRNA from 1 species